rnacentral:rRNA from 1 species
AACAAACGCUGGCGGCGUGCCUAACACAUGCAAGUCGUACGAGAAAGGGUCCUUCGGGGCCUGAGUAAAGUGGCGCACGGGUGAGUAACGCGUGGAUAAUCUGCCCUUCAGUUGGGAAUAACUCAUCGAAAGGUGGGCUAAUACCGAAUAAUGCUGUGAGACCUCGGUUGAUCAGCCAAAGAGAGCCUCGGCUUGCAAGCCCUCGCUGAAGGAUGAGUCCGGGUACCAUUAGCUAGUUGGUAGGGUAAUGGCCUACCAAGGCGACGGUGGUUAGCUGGUCUGAGAGGAUGAUCAGCCACACUGGAACUGAGACACGGUCCAGACUCCUACGGGAGGCAGCAGUGAGGAAUCUUGCGCAAUGGGGGCAACCCUGACGCAGCAACGCCGCGUGAGUGAGGAAGGUCUUCGGAUCGUAAAGCUCUGUCGGAUGGAAAGAACCGCAUAGGGGUAAACAGCCCCUGUGUCUGACGGUACCGUCAAAGGAAGCACCGGCUAACUCCGUGCCAGCAGCCGCCGUAAGAC